rnacentral:rRNA from 1 species
AGCAGCCGCGGUAAUUCCAGCUCCAAUAGCGUAUAUUAAAGUUAUUGCAGUUAAAAAGCUCGUAGUUGAAUUUCGGAGUUCUACCGUCGGUCGGGCUACCGAGUCUGUACUGGUGUGUAGAAUUCCUACCUUCUGGGGAACUAUCAUGUUAUUAAUUUAGCGUGGUGGGAAACCAGGACCUUUACCUUGAAAAAAUUAGAGUGUUCAAAGCAGGCUUAUGUCUGAAUACAUUAGCAUGGAAUAAUAGAAUAGGACGGUGGUCCUGUUUUGUUGGUUUCUGAAUCACCGUAAUGAUUAAUAGGGAUAGUUGGGGGCAUUAGUAUUCAAUUGUCAGAGGUGAAAUUCUUGGAUUUAUUGAAGACUAACUUCUGCGAAAGCAUUUGCCAAGGAUGUUUUCAUUAAUCAAGAACGAAAGUUAGGGGAUCGAAGUACGAUCAGAUACCGUCGUAGUCUUAACCAUAAACUAUGCCGACUAGGGAUCGGACGAUGUUAAAUUUAUUGACUCGUUCGGCGCCUUACG